rnacentral:lncRNA from 1 species
GACUAAUGCUAGCAUUCUAGUUCAGGGAGUUCACUUCCUAAAAUGUCUAUUUUCCAGUGCUUGUCACUGCAGCAUGAGAAAUGGGGCGAGCUUCUGAGGGACAAAACCACAUCUUUGGCACAAGGAAGAAUCACAGAGCAAAUAAUGUCUCCUGCCACUGCUCUAGAAUGGGAGUGCUCCAAAUUAUGGUGUGUGGAAGUAUGGUUUUAUCGUUCAUGUAGAACCAUAGCAAAGAAUAUUGUUUUUCUUCUCUGUGGGUAGUGUUAGUAGUAAGACAAUGCCGCAUUUCUUCUUUUUCUUGCUCUGGUUUUAGUUUUGCAGAAGAAUGUGUGAGUCUGUGUGUUGUUCAUGCAGACAGUUUCAGCAUUCAGCUCCGUAUUUCAUGCAAAUCUGUUCCUACAAGCAAGCUUACCAAUGCACUGCAGAUCUGUCCUGUCAUGCACAGAGUCCCAUGAGUGCCACUUUAAUGAUCCAGGUGUAUACACAUCAUCCUCCAAGCAAGUCAAAAGCAUGAAUGCUGUGAAGACAGGAACCAUGCACUUCCACGGGGACACUGAUCAUGGCAGCUGCUACUACAAAUGUCCUCUCCUGCUCCUGGGACCAGCAGCCUAUGAGCAAACAGAGCCAUACCCUUUUUCCACAAGUUCCUGACAAGAAACAUCAGACUUGCAGAUUCAGAGAUAUCAGGCUCCAACAGUACCUCACCAAAGACUUUUCUGGGCAUAAUUCUGGCUAAAUAAUGACCAGCAGUAAUCACUCCCACGUCAGUGGCCCAAGAAGCUACCUAGCCUGAAGCAGCAGGACAGGACAGGAUUUGAACCCAAGGAUGCUUCCUGAUAACCUUUCUGGUAGAUGAGCUGUAGAAGUAGAACUGUUAUUUAUUAUUCCUUUCAUCUGUUUGAAGCUCUAGAGAGUGCAGGUCUGUAACUUUACUCUUGUGUCAGCAGGGGGAUGGAAGUGAGAAGCAAAAACAGAAAAGUGAAAGCAGCUUGGUGCUGUCUCUGGAGCCAGGGCAACCAUGAGUGCUCCUUUGGGCUGCUUCUGGGGAAGGCUUCACUUUGCACAAGGCAACUCCAUAUGGUGAAGCAAUAAAAUCUGCUUCAGCUUGUUCUUUUUGUCUGUG